rnacentral:rRNA from 1 species
GCUUGUCUCAAAGAUUAAGCCAUGCAUGUCUAAGUAUAACUCUUUUACUUUGAAAACUGCGAACGGCUCAUUAUAUCAGUUAUAGUUUCUUUGAUAGUCCCUUACUACUUGGAUACCCGUAGUAAUUCUAGAGCUAAUACAUGCGUCAAACGUCGACUUCUGGAAGACGUGUAUUUAUUAGAUAAAAAACCAAUUCCGCAAGGAUUUUUUGGUGAUUCAUAAUAACUGUUCGGAGCCCAUGGUCUUGCACUGGGGCCAGGUCAUUCAAAUUUCUGCCCUAUCAGCUUUCGAUGGUAGUGUAGUGGACUACCAUGGCUUUAACGGGUGACGGAGAAUUAGGGUUCGAUUCCGGAGAGGGAGCCUGAGAAACGGCUACCACAUCCAAGGAAGGCAGCAGG